rnacentral:rRNA from 1 species
GACGAACCGUGCGAACGUUGUUCGGAAUCACUGGGCUUAAAGGGCGCGUAGGCGGGUGUGCAAGUCUGCGGUGAAAGCCUCCAGCUUAACUGGAGAAGUGCCGUGGAUACUGCAUAUCUUGAGGAGGGUAGGGGCAUCUGGAACAUUGGGUGGAGCGGUGAAAUGCGUUGAUAUCCAAUGGAACUCCGGUGGCGAAGGCGGCGUGCUGGACCCACCUGACGCUGAGGCGCGAAAGCCAGGGGAGCGAACGGG